GGGGCCCCAGGAAGACCAGAGCAGUGGGCGGAGUUCAGAUCCACUUUCCCCUUUUGAUGGACACAACGCGGACGACAUGGCGGAGACGGUGCUCAUGAACUUCCUGCGG
rnacentral:lncRNA from 1 species